rnacentral:rRNA from 1 species
UAUUGAUUUGAAGAGAACGAGAACUGUUCAAGGACAUGAUGAAGAUUAUAACAAUGGCUUAGUGGCGGACUGGUGAGUAAUACGUAAGCAACCUGCCUAUUAGAGGGGAACAACAGUUAGAAAUGACUGCUAAUACCGCAUAUGCCAUAGUAACCACAUGGUUACAGUGGGAAAGGAGUAAUCCGCUAAUAGAUGGGCUUACGGCUGAUUAGCUAGUUGGUGGGGUAACGGCCUACCCAAGGCGACGAUCAGUAGCCGGACUGAGAGGUUCAACGGCCACAUUGGGACUGAGAUACGGCCCAGACUCCUACGGGAGGCAGCAGUCGGGAAUUUUGCGCAAUGGAGGAAACUUCCUGACGCAGUGACGCCGCGUGCAGGAAGAAGGUUUUCGGAUUGUAAACUGCUUUAGACAGGGAAGAAAAAGGACAGUACCUGUAGAAUAAGCUCCGGCUAACUACGUGCCAGCCGCCGC